rnacentral:rRNA from 1 species
UAGGGAAUCUUCCACAAUGGGCGAGAGCCUGAUGGAGCAACGCCGCGUGUGUGAUGAAGGGUUUCGGCUCGUAAAACACUGUUGUAAGAGAAGAAUGACAUUGAGAGUAACUGUUCAAUGUGUGACGGUAUCUUACCAGAAAGGAACGGCUAAAUACGUGACAG